rnacentral:rRNA from 1 species
CACGUAGGGGGCGAGCGUUGUCCGGAUUUAUUGGGCGUAAAGAGCUCGUAGGCGGUUCGCUAAGUCGGGUGUGAAACCUCCAGGCUCAACCUGGAGACGCCACCUGAUACUGGCGUGACUAGAGUCCGGUAGGGGAGUGUGGAACUCCUGGUGUAGCGGUGAAAUGCGCAGAUAUCAGGAAGAACACCGGUGGCGAAGGCGGCCUGCUGGGCAGUUGCUGACACUGAGGCGCGACAGCGUGGGGAGCAAACAGG